GUUUAUAUAGUUUAUUAAAAAACAUUAUACUUUCACUAUAAAAAUAAUAUAAAAUUUAUAUUUUAAUA
rnacentral:tRNA from 1 species